GUAGUAGCAAACGCUUCCCAAGGCAUAUGAAAUAUAGCAAAGGAAAAGCUUUGUCUUACUGGGAUGCCUGCAUCCAAAGUGAAUUGUAACUCCACGAUGGCACUAAAGAAAAAUUGGAUUGUGACUUCUGGUGAAUGUUUCCGACGGUGUCAGCCUCUGAGAAACAAGCUGCAAGGAGAGGGGAUGGUACAGGGAUGGUGUCACUUGGAAAUCUCUGUAAAAGAAGAGUGGUAGAAAUAAAACCUGAUGACGUUUGGUGGAAACUGAUGUGGUAAUGGUAACAUGAAGGCACGACUCUUACAACUGAGGUCUAGUCUCACUAUUCAGUACGAUAACACACAUGUAGAUCGCUCUACAUCUUCUCUAAAGCUGACAGCAACUGCUAGCCAUAUUGUCUUAAUGUGGAAGAGCUGAUGUAAUGGGUCAUUAGGAUCUGAGCAUAGGAUCUUCUGCACCAAAACACAGCCUUCCCUCUGCUUAGCCCACGGGUUUGCUUUUAGCUGGGAACACUAGCAGGUGGCUGUCCUCUGCUGCAGCUAGGUCUUGGAAGGAGCCAUGCCAUGCUGUGUUACGAUGGUGAACACAGCCAGCGUAAGAUUUACAAAUGUGAUUUAACAUUUUUUUGCGUCUGCUGCCUUUCCCUAUUACAGAAUUAAUGUUUUAAAUGAAAACAGAUUUAUUUAUUUAUUUUGUGGCAAAAGUGUUGCCUUUUCUACCAGAGACACCUAUGUGAAAACAGAGAUAAAACCAGCUGCUUGUGCAGGAUGUCUUUGGCGCAAAGAGGGGAAUACACUAGAGAUGGGCAGUGUUAAUGGAGAACAGCGUCCAGCCAUUCACCUUCAUACAAGAGAGGUGGAAGACUGGCUGGUGCGUACAGCAAUUGGAGUACAGUCAGGGUCAGCAGUGCAGCGUAAGGCACAGUGGACUCAAGAGUUAAAUGUUUUAUCCCAAUCUCUUCCAAUCUAGAGUGAAUUGGAAUAAAUGGACUUUUCACCAGGCCACGUUUCAACAAAGUAUUGGGUUAGAAGUUACAAACCUAAAUUCUUUGUACAAUCUGGGCCAAAGUGAUAAACAAGACGACUGGUGCAGUGAUUGUCAUGUCAAGUGUCAGCAAUCAUGCAGUCUUCAUCAGCUUCAUGUGCUUAACUUGUUGCCUUGAGCCAAGAUCAAAUAUAAGCAUGCUGUAAAGUCUAAAUCAGUUUGAAGAGUUAUUGUCAGAGUUCAAAUGGAACAAUCACAAUUGUGGUGCAGAUUUUAGCAUGCUGUGAAAGUGUUGCUUAUAAGUCUGAUUUAAUGACUUUCUAACACUUAC